GUUCAAACGAGGAAGGGCUUACAGUGGAUACCUAGGCACCCAGAGAUGAGGAAGGGCGUGGUAAGCGAUGAAAUGCUUCGGGGAGUUGAAAAUGAGCAUAGAUCGGGAGAUUCCCGAAUAGGUUAACCUUUUUAACUACUUCUGAAUCCAUGGGUAGGCAAGAGACAACCUAGCGAACUGAAACAUCUUAGUAGCCAGAGGAAUAGAAAGAAAAAGCGAUUCCCAUAGUAGCGGCAAGCGAAAUGGGAGUAGCCUAAACCGCGAAAAUAGGGUUGUGGGAGAGCACAAUAUAAGCUCUAUGCUGCUAGGCGAAGCGGUUGAGUCCUGCACCCUAGAUGGUGAGAGUCCAGUAGCCAAAAGAAUCAUUGGGUUACGCUCUAACCCAAGUAGCAUGGGGCACGUGGAAUCCCAUGUGAAUUAGCAAGGACCACCUUGCAAGGCUAAAUACUCCUGGGUGACCGAUAGCGAAGUAGUACCGUGAGGGAAAGGUGAA
rnacentral:ncRNA from 1 species